rfam:Auricularia subglabra TFB-10046 SS5 ATRDEscaffold_20_Cont681, whole genome shotgun sequence.
GGCAGUUUGGCCGAGUGGUUAAGGCGCCGUGUUAAGGUCGGAGCUUGAAAUUGAGCCAAUUCCGCGGUCCGAAAGGGCGCAGGUUCGAGUCCUGCAGCUGUCA